UACAGAGGUCCCAAGCGUUGUUCGGAUUCAUUGGGCGUAAAGGGUGCGUAGGCGGCGCGGUAAGUCGGGUGUGAAAUCUCGGGGCUUAACUCCGAAACUGCGUUCGAUACUGCCGUGCUUGAGGACUGGAGAGGAGACUGGAAUUUACGGUGUAGCGGUGAAAUGCGUAGAUAUCGUAAGGAAGACCAGUGGCGAAGGCGGGUCUCUGGACAGUUCCUGACGCUGAGGCACGAAGGCCAGGGGAGCAAACGGG
rnacentral:rRNA from 1 species